ensembl:lncRNA
AUGUUAAUUCAAAGAUUUUUACUGUCAAAAACUGUUGUUUGUUUGAGUCAAUAUUAUGUAAUGAAAAUGGCAAAACUCCUUUUGACAACAUGGUGUAUGUAUGUAUUGUGUGUUUCAGUGAGUGAUCUGAGGAUUGUCCUGGUGGGGAAGAAUGUGUCAGAAAACAACAGAGUGGGAAACUUAAUCUUCAAUAAAAAUAUGUUUGGAAAGAUAACACCACAACCUGAUGUGGAGACAUUCACGGAAAAAGUGGAGAGGAGAAACAUCACAGUCUUCAACACAACUCAGCUGCUCAAUGCAACACCCAGUCUUAAAGAAAUAGCCCAAUACGUGUCCGAUAUGUCUCCUCCAGAGCCUCAUGUGAUCAUACUGGUGCUGCAGCUCAGUGAUUUUAGUCAGAAGAAUAGAGACAUGUUACCUUCAGUGUUGAACUGCUUUGGAGAGCAGGCGAUGAAGUGCACAAUGAUUCUGACUACUGAUGAUGAGACACGCAGCGCUGAACAUAAAAUUGAAAAUGAAUAUAUUAAAGAAAUAUCUACAGAAUGUGGAGGAGGAUGCCUUCAGCUUUCACAAAAUACACAACACUCUCAAAUACUUCAAAAAGUGGAUGAAAUAAUCAGUCAUGGUGUAGCUGAAGAGACACAGCAUGUCUCAUCUCUGCAUGAAGAAGACCACAAGAGGCUAAGGCGACGAAGUCAAAGUGAAGAACGCCCUAACAGUAAGUUCAUUAAAUUAUAGCUAUAUUUUGAAUUGUUCUUCUUUCUGGUGAAAAAAUAAAUAAAUAAUAUGUUGUAUAUGUUCUUGUUGGAACAAGAAUGAAUUGUGGAACAGGGAACAGCUUUAAUGCUUUUGGACCAAAAAAAAAAAAAUGCUUAGCAAAUAAAACGAACAACAACAAAAAACGUUUAUAGCCCAUGUUGCAGGUUAACCACCACUGUCGAUUAAUGGGUACAUAAAUCACUCAAGAUAUGUAUAUCAUUUUUAAAAUGUCUCAAAANAUUCUCUAACUCGGCAGCAGAGUAUGUGAGAGUGGAGCAGCAACAAUUUCCCUCCGCGCUCCGAGCAUUAAUAAUCACUCCGCUCCGCGCUCACUGAUAUCAGAAACACCCUCCGCACUCGCUCCGUGGAUAAAGCUGAAAUGUUAUGUUCAUAACGUAGCCUAUAAAAAUAAAAUAAAAAUAAACAACUAAAUAAAAUAACAGGAGAGUUUCAAAGUGGCUAAGGCUAUUGUGUGCAAACUUUUUUUCCUACCAAACGCCAAACUAAUAACAUUGUCAGCAUUAAAAGGUAUAAUUGCUGCUUUCUGCUGUGCAAAUUUUGUUUGUGAUGAAAAUAACAGUACAUUUUCGUCAGUUAUUUUAUCUACAGAUCGAUGCAUUUCUUACAGAUUUUAAAAUCAGUUACAGAUGAAGCAGCACUUUAAAAUUACAUUUGUUUGAAAUCAUUAUUGCGACAGCGAUUACGUGUGAAUGUAUCUGUUUAAAUCAUGCUUUAACCCGAAAAUAAUCAGUAAAAGGAAGACAAACUCCUUGAGAACUAGCCUGUAACGCUCGACUAUUGCCGUCAUUAUAAUCUUCUGAUCGGAGAGAUCAUGUGUAUCAAGCUAUAGCUAAAUGUUUAUCAUGUGAAUUCUUGCUAAAUAUGCAGUUAUAUUACGGGCUGUUGGCAUGAAUUGUACUCGUGAUGGAGCGGUGCUGGAGCGAGUGAAAACCACGACUCUCCUGACUUUUAAAAAAUCCUCUCCUCGCUCCAGUCAGAAUAACACCGCUCCGCUCAUACUCUGCUCUGCAGCGUGUCUCAANUUUAUCAAAUUGGUUGGCAAAACAGUAACAUGAUACUUCAACUCUUUUGAAAAAUGAAUAUUUGCCUAUAAUUCAUUACACUAAUCAUUCAGAUGUGUCUCAUGGAUUGUCAGUGAAGAAAGUCUUCAGCUUCAUGCUUUCUAUGUUUAAAGGGAUAGUUCACCUAAAAUGGAAAUAUGCUGCUAACUUUUUCACCCUCAGGCCAUCCAAGAUGUGUAGGUGACUUUUUUCUAAAGCAGAACAGUAAAGAAGGUGAUUCAUACACUGUAUUUCUGUGGCUGUUGGUCUUUGAGCUUCAAAAAUAAAAAAAGACUGGACUAGGGCUGGGCGAUAUAUCGCAUGUGAUUGUCACGCACAUGAUCUGAUGUAAACAAGCUUGCAUGAGAAGCACAUGAGGAACACGUGAGAGACGCACUGAAUGACAGCACAUUCACUCUCUGACAGCAGAUGGUGCUAAACUGCAGAAAAUNGGCCUGCCUCUAUACAUCUAUAAUCCAUAAUGAGCCUUAAUAUAUUCUGCGCUCAAGCACAUGCAUUAAGUUUGCCACAAAGCACAGGCAGAAGUAGCCCAAUAAUUGUGAAAAAGGAGACAUUUUAAUUAUUCAUUAAUAAACAAAUGUUUUCUUGUCGGCUGCAAGAUGAGAUUCACAGUGCUGACUCUCUCCACAUGGACCCGCCUUUAGAGAGAAAUACAACCUUCACAGAUUACAUAAUGCUUUCGUUCUGAAUUGAUUCGUUUAAAAGACAUUUCAAGCUUUCUGUAGAUAUAUUUCUCAUGUGAGACACCCCAAUUUUCAGUUAUUUCAUUAUCAGGAAAAAAAUCACGUGACCUAGAGGGCGCCUCCCUGCCAUGCAUGCNUGAAUUUAAAUAGCCAUUCAGAUUUGUGGAUUUGCUGUGUUGUUCAUCACAGUGCCAGAUACUUAAGUAUUUAGACUUAAUAGGCUUUUUAUUUUUUCAUUUUUAUCUGGACUACAGCAUGACCUAGAUAUUGUUUGAAAGUGUUUUGAUUCUUUAUUCUUCAUUCACACUUUACAUUAGGGCUUCAUUAAUUAAUUCAUUGGUUAACAUAAACUGCUAAUGAAAAAGUCUCUGAACAUUCAUUAAUCUUAUGUAUUCCAAUAUUUGCAACUGUGUUAUUUAAUGAGCUAACAUGAACAUACAACGUACAUUUCUCAACAUGUAAUCUGAAAUCAGUAAUGGAUAACAAUUUGUAAGUAAUCUACCCAGCUCUGUGUAUGUGUGUCUGCAUAUUCACAUGAAUAUUGAUGCUGUUUGUUUACAAUGGAGAAUGAGGACUUGUGUGCAGACCUUCAUCAGCAGUACCAGCGUCUAAAGCUCACAACAUAAAAGUUACAAUGACUGAUGAUUUUGAUGUAAAAGAGAAUGACAUUGACAUGCACAGCCAUUCUUGUUCAAACCAGAAUCCUCAGACCAAGAACUGAGAGAGAUGGAGGAAGCAGGGGCACAACAGUGAGACUGAGGGCUCUUGAGAUGUGGUGUGUUCAUGUUCAGGUAUCAUGCAAUGACAACAGAGGAAGAAUAGAUCUGGAUCACGUGUCAGAAAUCUGUGAAAAGUCUCUUGAAUCGGAUUGCACAUGCAAACAUAAUCUUUGAAAAAAUUGUUCCAGCAUCCAGGAUAAGCACAGGUAAGUACAUUUUUGAUGAACAAUAAAAUACUCAAGAUGCAGUUGAUGAAUCACCAAGGACAAUGGUUUCACCUAAAAACCUUUACUGUUGUGCUAAAGAGAAAUAAAGUCACCUAGAUUUUGGAUGGUCUGAGGGUGAGUAAAUUAACAGCAGAUUUUUUAUUUUUGAGUGACUAUCCCUUUAAGCUCCAAGUUUAACACUUGAAUGUGAAGCUUGUGCCUAUAACUACAUGAUAUUACCACACGUGUACAUGCAUUGGUUUCAGGUGCUGAAUGUUCAGAUGAUCUGGAGAGUUUGAGGAUUGUGUUGAUCGGGAGGACAGGAAAUGGAAAGAGUGCAACAGGAAACACUAUUCUGGNGCUGCACGUGCACUCAGCAUCAUGAGGGCGAGCAAAUCUUGCACUCUGACAUUUUACGGAAUAUUAUACAAACCUGCAUUUAAAUGCGGCUGCAAUUUAUUUAUUUUAUUUAUUUUUACUUUACUUAAAUUAAUUGUCAAUUAAUGAAGCUCCUUUUUUACAUCGUGUGCAUUUUGUUGAUUAUAAUAAGAGAACUUCAGUUUAUGAAGACGUUUUAUUAAUCCAUCCAUUCUUUAGCGUUUCAAUGAUUUAGUUAAAUUGUGCAGGUUUAAUUUAUUCGUUUAUUGUUUUAAUUAGGCCUAAAUAAUGGGAGCGAAAUUAUACAGUGCCUCACGUUUUACUAAAAUAAAGAAAAAAAAAUUAUAAAACACACAAGCCUAGCUCACAAUAGGCUACCACUUUUAAUCCUCCGAUGCAAAGUAAACCACAUUUUCUUUUGAAUAAUAUAACACAUAAUUCAUAUUAUAUAAAUAAUAGGCUACUGCACACUAUUUAAAUGUGUCAAAUCUAAAAUAUGGUAUAAGCACAGGCUCCGGCACAGGCUUGAUAUUUAUCCUGCUUGAAUUCGUUCUAAGAAACGCACAUAUCUUUAUAAGGAGUAAACUUUCAUCUGUGAAUAUUAAAUAUUUUAACUAGCCUACAGUGUUUUUCUUUCAUUUUCCCCGACUGCAGUCAAAUAUAACACAUCGGUGAGGCAAAGCUGACGUCUAUUUGCGAAAAUGUGCUUUGAUGCGCUUGUUUGAAAACUUGUGAUUAAAGCGCCACUCAGCGGUCAAAAGCUGCAAAUGCACUUUGCCGACGCCGCGGCGGCGGUACGAGCGGCGGUAGAAGUAACGUUUUGGAUGGCCACCUACUGUAUAUGACCAGCACCUGUAAUGCACACACGAGGUGGUGAUGGGGGCAUGACGCGAAGUGGUGAUUCAUAAAAAAAUGUGCAGUUUAUGAAUCACCGAGGACAAUGGUUUCACCUAAAACAUUUACUGUUGUACUAAAGAGAAAGAAAAUGUACCUAGAUUUUGGAUGGCCUGAGGGUGAGUAAAUUAACAGCAAAUUUUUAUUUUUGAGUGAAUAUCCCUUUAAGCUCCAAGUUUAACACUUGCAUGUGAAGCU